AGUGGCGAACGGGUGCGUAACACGUGAGAAACCUGUCCCGAACUUGGGAAUAACAGCCGGAAACGGCUGCUAAUACCGAAUAUCUUCGUAACGUCGCAUGGCGUAUCGAAGAAAGCUUUAUGCGGUUUGGGAGGGUCUCGCGGCCUAUCAGCUAGUUGGUGAGGUAAUGGCUCACCAAGGCAUCGACGGGUAGCUGGUCUGAGAGGAUGAUCAGCCACACUGGGACUGAGACACGGCCCNNNCUCCUACGGGAGGCAGCAGUGGGGAAUAUUGCACAAUGGGCGAAAGCCUGAUGCAGCAACGCCGCGUGCGGGAAGAAGGCCCUAGGGUUGUAAACCGCUUUCAGUAGGGAAGAAAAUGACGGUACCUACAGAAGAAGGUGCGGCC
rnacentral:rRNA from 1 species